AUAUAUAUAUACAGCCAAAAGUACAAGAUAGCACUCCAGGGACUUCCAAGUUGAAUGAAUAAAACUCCUGGAGUGCUAUCUUGUACUUUUGGCUGUAUCU